rnacentral:rRNA from 1 species
UACGUAGGGGGCAAGCGUUGUCCGGAUUUAUUGGGCGUAAAGAGCGUGUAGGCGGCUUUACAGGUCCGUUGUGAAAACUCGAGGCUCAACCUCGAGACGCCGGUGGAAACCGUAAAGCUAGAGUCCGGAAGAGGAGAGUGGAAUUCCUGGUGUAGCGGUGAAAUGCGCAGAUAUCAGGAAGAACACCCGUGGCGAAGGCGGCUCUCUGGGACGGUACUGACGCUGAGACGCGAAAGCGUGGGGAUCAAACAGG